AUGAGACACCCAACUUGUGAAGAAGAGAGUGAUGGGUAAGUCCGGUGAGAGAUUUUGUAAACAGAUCUGCAAGCUGAGAGGAAGAUCGAACAUGAGAGAGAGAAAUAAGACCGGCGAGGUACUGCUGACGAACGAAAUGACAGUCGAUUUCGACGUGUUUCGUUCGUUCAUGAAAGACCGGAUUUUUAGCAAUAUGUAUGGCAACAGAACUAUCCGAAUGAAGAGGAACCGACAAACUGAUCGGAACAUUGAGAUCUACGAACAAUCGGACCAACCAAGUAAGUUCGGCAACGACUCGCCUCAUCGACCUAUAUUCAGCUUCAGCCGAACUGAGUGAUAUUGAUGCUUGCUUUUUUUAUUUCCAUGUAAUAGGAGAAGAACCAAGAGAAAUAUAGAAACCACUGACGGACUUUCGUGAAUCCGGGCAGGUUCCCCAAUCGGAAUCACAAAAGGCAAGGAGCUGGAAGGACGACGAACUGGACAUAAAGAUCCCAAGACCUGGAUCAUGGAGCAAAUAGCGAAGUACUCGUAAAGCCGCAGUAAAAUGAGGAAGACGAGGGUCCUACAUAUACUGACUAAGGUGCUGUACAGUGAAUGAGAGAUCCGGCCUCGUGUGAGUCAGGUAAUUCAGUUUUCCCAGUAAGUGUCGAUAUAGAGUAGGAUUCGUCAAAGGAAUACCUUCAUUGGCCUUUAAUUUGACAGAAGAAUCCAGAGGUGUAGAAACAGGAUUAAGGUCCAAACAAUCGAACUCUGUUAAUAAUUCAAAAAUGAACUUUCUUUGAGAAAGAAUUAAACCAUGUGGUUCCCGAAUGACUUCCAAACCGAGGAAGAAGUGUAAAUUACCAAGAUCUUUAAUCUUAAAUUCUGCAUCCAAGAAUAACUUGAGUUCCUGUAAGUCGGCUGGAUUAUCUCCUGUCAAUAAAAUGUCAUCGACAUAAACUGCAACUAUAGAAAUCGAAUCAGUAGACUUCUUAAAAAACAAAGAAUAGUCAUUGAGAGAAUGACUAAAACCUUUGAAAUUGAGGGCAGCAGUGAGUUUUGAAUACCAUUGUCGAGAGGCCUGUUUUAGGCCAUAAAUAGACUUCUUUAAUAAACAAACAUGAUUAGGGGGAGGAGGAGAAAGACCAGUAGGAAAUCUCAUGUAAACUUCCUCAUUGAGGUCACCAUGUAGAAAUGCAUUAUUUACAUCUAAUUGAAAGAGACCCCAUCCUCUCUUUACUGCAAUAGCCAAAAUACAGCGAACAAUAGUCAUCUUCACCACUGGUGAAAAAGUCUCAUUGUAAUCCACCCCUUCUUUUUGUAUAUCACCUCUAAUGACCAAUCUGACCUUAAAUCUCUCAAUACUACCAUCUGAAUGUUGUUUGACUUUGUAAACCCACUUGCAAGGCAAAGCUUUUUUCCCAUGAGGCAAAAGAACAACAUCCCAAGUUCAGUUUAGUUCCAAAGCAGCCAGUUCUAGAUUCAUGGCUUCCUGCCAAGCAGGAUCAUGUAAUGCCUGUUCAUAGCUAGCAGGUUCAUGGAUAUUAGAGACAGAGUUGAGCAUAACCUGAUUAGAAGAGGAUAAAGAAUGGAAUGAAAGGGAAGUAGGAGUGAUAGGACUAAGAAAACAGGAAGAACUUACAUAUGUGAGUUGUAAAACAUGACAAAUAUAAUCUGUAAGAUAAGAAGGAGUCCUAGUAUUCCUAGAAGACUUUCGGACAAGAGUAUCAAUAAGAGGAGUUGGAUGGGGAGGAUCAGGAGAUGUACUGAUAGGAGAAGGAAUAGGAUUACAGUCAGAGGAGGGAGAAGAAGGAGGAAUAGGCAAAGUAUUAGGAACACUAGACAAUGUAGAGUCAGGCGCAAGUGUAAAUAAAGGAAAAUCAGAAACAUGUAUAUCUGAGGGAGGAAUUGGAAAUAAUCUAUGAGAAAUGUGAGACAUAUCUGAUGAAAAGGGAAAAUAUUCUUCAUAAAAAAUGAUAUCUCUAGAAACAAAAAUUUUCUUUGUUUUAAGGUUCAUGACUUUGUAGCCCUUUUUCCCAUAAGGAUACCCCAAAAAUACACAAGGCAAGGCUCUUGGAUCAAACUUUGUUCUAUGAGGAGAAGUAGUGGAAACAAAACAUAAACAACCAAAACAUCUUAGAUGUGAAUAAAGAGGUUUAUCUUUAAAAAGGAUUUCAAAAAGUGUUUUGUGAUUCAAAAUAGAAGAAGGAAACCUGUUAAUCAGAUAGGUGGCAGUUAAUAAACAUUCUCCCCAAUAAAUGAUAGGUAAAUGAGAUUGAUAUAACAAGGCUCUUGAAGUUUCAAGCAAAUGCUUGUGUUUCCUCUCCACUAUUCCAUUUUGUUGUGGAGUGUAAACACAAGUAGUUUGGUGAAUUAUCCCUUUGGAAAGAAAAAAAUCAGAAUGCAAUUUUCCAGCCCCUAAUUCAAAAGCAUUGUCUGUUCUGAUUAUUUUGAUUUGGGAGUUAAACUGUCUUUUAACCAUGGAAAUGAAAGAUUUAAGAAUAGAAAAAGCAUUGGAUUUAGAACUAAGUAGAUGAGUCCAUGUUGCUCUACUAAAAUCAUCAACAAUGGUUAAAAAAUACUUAAAACCAUUAUAUGUAGGAGUGUUGUAAGGACCCCAAGUAUCCACAUGUAUUAGUUCAAACACUGAUUUAGUAGAGAGACAACUUUUAGGAAAAGGCAAUUUAGAUUGUCUUGCCAUAGGACAAAUAAUGCAAGGAGAUGAAAAUUUGGAACAAGGUAGAAAAGCUGGAACAACAUUCUUCAUAUUACUCAAAGGCAUAUGGCCUAAUCUAUAGUGCCAUAGCUUUUCUUUUACAUUUGAAUCAAAAAAACUAGAACAUGAAGUAAGUUUCUUUUACAUUUGAAUCAAAGAAACUAGAACAUGAAGUAAAGACAUUGGCAACAAAAUUAGGAAAACAAGAACUAUUAGAUCUAGAACUAGAUAGGUGCUUUGUGAGAAGAUCAUCUUGAUCACCAUGUCUGAGAUCAGAAAGACUCUUAGUAACAGCUGGUUGAAGAGACUUGAAAAUAUAUAGACCCCCUUGUUCCUUACCAACCUCCAGAGGGCUCUUCAGUGAAGGGCCCUGCAACAUAAAACAUUUGUUAGGGGUAAAUAAAAUAUUUUUCUGAAACUGUUUGCACAGUUUAUGAAUAGACAAAAGAUUGCACUUGAAAGACUGAAUAUAGAGGACAUGGUGAAGAAUUAAUUUAGGUAAGAGUUCGAUAGAUCCUGAAUGAGUUACAGUGACUCUAUGUGAAUUAGGAAGAGUAACCAUAAUAGGUUGAGGCAAAGGACUGAGAUUAGAGAAAAGAGUUCUAUUAGAUGUUAUAUGCUCAGAAGCUCCACUGUCUAAAAUCCAUGAAACAUUGCCAACUGUAAACAGAGAAACAUUAGAAUUGGGUAUACCUGCACAAGUGAUGUUAGCAGAUCCUUCACUAGUAUUGCUAGUUUGAUGGUUCAUCUUCUGUAAUAGUUGCAAGAGUUGAGCAACAUUCUCCUGACUGAGUGAAGUUUGAUCUGUAGAACCUUCCACACCAUGACUGUUAACCUCAGAUGAACUAAAAACAUUGUUAGCAACAUGACCUUGUUGGUAUUUUUUAUUCUUGGUGAACUUAAAAUCAUCAGGGAAUCCACGAAGCUUAUAGCACUGUUCAAUAGUGUGACCUGUCUUCUUGCAAUAGUUACAAAUGAAAUUGUUUUCUUGGAAAAGUUCCCUGGCUUAGGUUUAUAUUCAUCAAACCUCCUAGUUCCUGAAUUUCCAACAAGAAAGGAGGCAGACUUUGUUGGGUAAUUAGGAACAACAUGUAUUUCUCUCUGUUUUUCAUCUUGAACUACCAGAGAGUAAACUUGACCAAUGGUAGGAAGAGGGGAAGACAAUAGAAUGUUACUUCUAACCCCAAUGAAGGUGUCACUAAGACCCAUGAGAAAUUGAAGUAGCCUUUCAUCCUGAUGAGCUUUGACAAUUUUUUCUUUAGUACCACAUACACAAUCACAAGAACAAGCUGAAAAAGUGUUAAGAGCAUCAAGCUCAUCCCAUAAACUUUUCAUCUUGGUGAAAUAAGUAGAAAUACUAGAAUUUCCUUGUACAACAGCAUUUAACUCUUUCUGUAAUUGAAAUAAUUUUGCUCCACUAGCCUGACCAAAUCUGUCUUCCAGGUCAGACCACAAGACUUUUGCACUUUUGGAGUAGAAAACAGAUUCAGCAAUCUCUUUUGAAAGAGAAUUCAGCA
rnacentral:lncRNA from 1 species